rnacentral:rRNA from 1 species
GAAUGCUGACAUAAGUAACGAUAAAGCGGGUGAAAAGCCCGCUCGCCGGAAGACCAAGGGUUCCUGUCCAACGUUAAUCGGGGCAGGGUGAGUCGACCCCUAAGGCGAGGCCGAAAGGCGUAGUCGAUGGGAAACGGGUUAAUAUUCCCGUACUUGGUGUUACUGCGAAGGGGGGACGGAGAAGGCUAUGUUGGCCGGGCGACGGUUGUCCCGGUUUAAGCGUGUAGGUGUGUGUUCCAGGUAAAUCCGGUUCACUUUAACACUGAGGCGUGACGACGAGGCACUACGGUGCUGAAGCAACAAAUGCCCUGCUUCCAGGAAAAGCCUCUAAGCAUCAGGUAACAUCAAAUCGUACCCCAAACCGACACAGGUGGUCAGGUAGAGAAUACCAAGGCGCUUGAGAGAACUCGGGUGAAGGAACUAGGCAAAAUGGUGCCGUAACUUCGGGAGAAGGCACGCUGACACGUAGGUGAAGUGAUUUACUCAUGGAGCUGAAGUCAGUCGAAGAUACCAGCUGGCUGC